CGUUUUUAAAUACACACUUCAUUGGCGUUGGGACAUUCACGUUGUUGGGCAACCAUCGCUACCGUCCGUCUCCGGAACUGCUUUCAUCUUGCAAAACUGGCAAACCUAAAAAAUAGCAUCUUCCCCGUCUGUCUUGUUCAUCCUCCCUAUUCUUGUAUUCUUGACUGCUCUUUCAUUUUUGCCACAUCCUACCCUAUCCCAGCCUGCUCACUCUGACGGGGUAUUUUCUAAUGAACUCGCAAACAGAGCCGCCCUAUUUCAGGCGAUCAGCAUUUGCUGAAUGUGGAAUUUAAAUUCUGUCCCAGUGAAGUGUUUGAGACCUGUCGUCCCACCUGGGACCAAGUCAGAUGCAUCAGGAUACCUGCCCGACGUCACUGUCGUCAAUGAUGUUUUACCCUGUGCAGGCUUGGAACAAAAAGCCUCGGUCCAGGUUGUUGCGACGGUCAGAAGAGACGAUUUAGCUGAGGCUCGUGCCUUUAGCAGAGGCCUUUGUUUGGUAGCCUCCGACCCUCCGGUCUUUGGUCUUUACUUUGCAGAGCACGUUUCCUUAAUAAGCUUGCUUCAGCCUCUGAAGCGUCCCAAGGAGAAGCUUUAUGCAGUAACUUGCAGCCAAAAUGGUGGCAAGGUCCCGACCACAUAGUCACUGUCACCUUGCAGUUUGUGAAACCAACAAAAAAAGCAAGUGCCACAGCGAGUCUGAUUUGACCACUGAAUUCUCAGGUCGUUUUGUCGUGAUCUGCCCUCGGUUCCUGCUCCCUUUUCCUUCGCCAGCUUGUCCAAAUCUGCAGUCAGAGCUUCCUCACUGUCCCCCGGCUGCUGAAACCACUUUCCGUGUGCCUUCCCAGGCCAGCAGGCAGUAGAUGAGACUCAUCACACCGAGAUGUGUGAGCCAGACCACACGGUCAGAAUCCCGGCUGUGCCAGGAUGAUCACUGUGAUUUGGGGCAAAUUAACUUAAUUUCUCUGAGUCUCGGUUUUCUCCACUGUAAACAACUCUGCCAUGGUUUGGCAUUGGGGGAUGAAAGGAGACCUUCUGUAGAAAGUGCACAAAUGCCCGGCACGUUGUAGACUCACCACCCGUGUCAGUUUAUCUUCUUCAACUUCUGGGUUUUUCCUGCCCUCUGAUCACAAAUGAGCUUGAUGGAGACCUUACCUUCUGCUUACCUUGCACUAUACUCUUGGCUUCCAGAAACCAUGGUUAAAAUGGUAGUGUUAGAAUAACGUGUGUCAAGAUUGAUUAUCUUAGGUGGAGGAGAAAAAAAAUACUGAGGAUCUCAAAAGAUAAAGAGGUUGGACUUAAUCCUAUAGCAAAAGAUGUUUGUAAUCCAAUGGACACACAAAAAUGCACUGAGGAAAAAAGUCGCAAAGGUUGCGUGAAAUGCCGGGAAGUUAGACACGAGGCAACGAGAAGGAGACUGUUCUGCAAGGGUUGCGUAACACUUCCACGUCAUGGGGAGAGUGACCUGUGCUAUAGUGAAGUGCACUUAAGGUGAUGUAUCACAUUGAUUGAUUUGCGAAUAUUGAACCAGCCCUGCAGCCCAGGAAUGCAUCCCACUUGAUCAUGGUCACAUCCCAAUGAUGUUUACUGAGGAAAAGUGAACUCUGGAGAGCCACGGUUUGGGGCUCUUGGUGAGUCGCUGGUAACCAUCCCACUCGAAAUCCACGUAAUCGGAUACAUACUUAAGACAGACAGACCAAAGUGCCACAUCAUCAUCCAACUCCACUGGAAGGAUGCAAAGUAAAAUGAAUAACUGAGUGCAUAAAUAAGUACAAUUCAGCUACGAUUAAAGAAAUGCUCAGAGAUUCAGAAGGAGCACAGCGAGCUGAAUCUCUUUUUCACGUGAAGAAGUAACUCUGAAUACAGCAUUCUCUCCAUUGGGGGUAUACUCAGAAAUACUAAGGAACUUCUGCUGUUUUGCUGUGGACUGAAGCAAAUCGUGCCACAUUAGAAUAAACAAUUCCCUUACAUUAAAUAUAUUACAUGAAAAAAAUAAAUAAACAAUUCCCAAAUAUGGCUGAUUAAAAUCGCGUGUGAUCACAUUACAGCACGAAAACAUGACUUUACUUCCUUUGCCCUCAAGGAGCUCACGUGUACUGCGAAUAAUAGUACUCUCCCCCCCCCCCCCCCCCAGCAUUUACUGUCUGUGGUGAUGUCGUGUGCUGAGCGUGGCUCUAGUUUUCACUUUUCUUUAAACCCACGCUGUGUAACUAUUCUUGAGUCUCGUACACAAGCUGAUAUUAACUGUGCUUCUUCUGGGUUUGACCAGUUUAUGACCAAGACUUGCUCUCCUCCCCUCUCCGAUUCCUAAAAGAAUUGCACUGAUGCUGGGAGAGGAUUUCUGACCAUAGGGACUUCCCGAAUCUCCUCCAGAGAACACCACGUAAGUGUUGCCGGCUCAGCUUAAUAGCAGCUACUCUGCCACAGCGACAGGGGCUUUGUCGAAUUGCAGAAGCUAUCUAGAAGGUACUUAAAGAUGGUGUACAUUCCACCUCUUUGAAAGGUCAGCUUGGGAAACCUGUCUAGAGAGACAGUAAGGAUAAACGUAUCCUCCCAGCUCUGUAAUAUCGAGAAGCCAGCUUGGUUCUCUAGAGUAACCCGGUGGAAAAAUGCUGUCUGAGGUGAAUGUUUCAUAAGUGCUGUAAACCCGCCUUUAUGAAGAUCUCAGGUGAUUCACCAAUAACCUGAAAUCAGCUUGAAUCUGCGUGCGUUCAAGCAUUCUUGUAAGUGAAGACUAACAAGCGUGAGUCAGUUGUUGGAGACUGUGCUGUGUAGCCUGGCAAAUAAGCUCCCAUUUGUUUUCAUGUCCUUCAUACAGAGGGACUGCAGACAAGCCAGGUCUCAGAAGAACGGAGGAGAACCCUCCUCCCUUCCCCGUGGGCGGUUGUGCCCAACGGGUGUGGCUUCAGAGAUGUCCCGCCGAGUCGGGUACCCUAGUUUACCCUACGCCACGGACCUGGUAAACGUUGGGAUAGUGGAUGUGUCACACCCUCAAAAACUACAAAACAUCAUGACAUAUAAGGUAGAAUCCUUAUCGUAAUAAUCCUGUCAUCUUCAGAAAUAAAAUGUGAAACUUCUACUUGUCGAUACUGUGCAGUCAGCUGAGGCCGGCCAGUAACUCUACUGUAACGACUAGGAAAAACCAGAGAAAUUACACAAAUGAGAUCUGGAAAGGCGCCCCUGGGUUGUGGAAGAAAUGAGUAGUAGAUGAACUAAGAUCACAGAGAGAGAGAAAUUGUUUGCAGGUAAGCUGCAGACCCACAGAUGUUUUUGGCCCUGGUGACAUUUAUUGAUUCUGGGCACAGGUUGAGGAUCAGGCGUGGCUCGGGCAGAGGGUCCUUGUAAAGGUAAGAGAAACCAACAAAGCUCUAACCAACUGGGGGCCUAGUGUGAAAAUAUUACAAACUUGAGGGGCUUCACCCUCAAAGCUGGUUUUCUCCACAAGACGUUUGCUGAGUUCUCAGGGUUCAUAGGAUGCAGGGAAGUGAAGCUGAAAGUUUCUAAGGGGCAAAUGAAACCUCCCACAGGCUUAUGUUCUUAAAAAGCAAGAUGCCUCUGGGGGAUCGGGCCCGCUUCAAGCACAUGGCUGUUUCCUCCUGGCCUUAAGGCAUUUGCCAGAUUUUGGGGUUCCUGGGUUAAGCGUUGGACUUCAGCUCAGGUCAUGAUCUCAUGGUUCGUGAGUUAGGGCCCCACUUCGGGCUCUGUGUUGACAGCUCGGAGCCUAGAGCCUGUUUCCGAUUCAGUGUUUCCCUCUCUCUCUGCACCCCCCCCCC